GAUGAACGCUGGCGGCGUGCCUAAUACAUGCAAGUCGAGCGAAUGGAUUGAGAGCUUGCUCUUAUGAAGUUAGCGGCGGACGGGUGAGUAACACGUGGGUAACCUGCCCAUAAGACUGGGAUAACUCCGGGAAACCGGGGCUAAUACCGGAUAACAUUUUGAACCGCAUGGUUCGAAAUUGAAAGGCGGCUUCGGCUGUCACUUAUGGAUGGACCCGCGUCGCAUUAGCCAGUUGGUGAGGUAACGGCUCACCAAGGCAACGAUGCGGAGCCGACCUGAGAGGGUGAUCGGCCACACUGGGACUGGGACACGGCCCAGACUCCUACGGGAGGCAGCAGUAGGGAAUCUUCCGCAAUGGACGAAAGUCUGACGGAGCAACGCCGCGUGAGUGAUGAAGGCUUUCGGGUCGUAAAACUCUGUUGUUAGGGAAGAACAAGUGCUAGUUGAAUAAGCUGGCACCUUGACGGUACCUAACCAGAAAGCCACGGCUAACUACGUGCCAGCCGCCGCCGUAA
rnacentral:rRNA from 1 species